GGUGAGAGAUCAUCAGACCAAACAAACUAAUUUCUAAAUUUAGGCGGCACUCUCCGCUGCCGCAGUCUCCGGCUUCCGACGAAAUCGCCGCCCCCCUCUCCCCUCUCCGAGCAAUCACAGUGGAUCCAGCCCAUAAUCCGCGUCGUUGAUGAGAUUGCGCCGCCGCCGCCGCUCAUUUUUCAGAUUCUCGAGAAUUCCUGGAUUCAUGUCUAAGAAUCAGAUUGAGCACUUGUUAGAGUUUUGAUUGAAAGCUAUGCCGAACCGAACACGACCUAUGACUGCGCUUCUUGUAUUUACUGGGCUCAAUGUUUUGCUAGUAUCAACCAUCACUCCAGUCUAUGAUUUCAUAUGCUUUCAUCCAUAUUGGGAAAGAAGGCUGCAGAGAGAACAGUGUCGACAGCAACUCGAAGCUGCGAUCGGGAAGAGCGUUUAGCAUACAGACGAGCAUCUGCAUUGCAUCUAAGUUCCCCAUACUGUGAUCUUUGUAGGUUUACCAUGGUGGGACUUGCAGAAGGGCGUUAUGUAGGCGUGGGUGAAGCGGGUUUGAGAUUGAUACUUAUUUGGUCCUUGAAGUUUCAAAAUGAUCGGUUUUUUAGUCUCUAAGUUAGAAAAUUUUGUUUUAAAUGGUCUCACUUCAUUUCAUCGUUAGUAUAGCGAUGAUAUAGCGAUGAAAAUGACAUGGCAUUGACAUCAUUUUUUUUUUUUCCAAUUAUAGACUAUUUUAAUAUCAUGUGGCAUUUUUUUUAUUAAAGUCAAAGAUUCAUUUUGGACCCUCACUUAUCCUUUGCUCCCCAUUGUUGGCCAUGGCAGCCUUUCAACACUAGCUUCUAUGCUACAUGAGAAUUUCAAUGGCUAUAACGAAGAACUCACAACUAACCAUCACUGGUCUUCGAAAAGGAAAGGAUUAGGAAGAAAUUUGACCAUAGUUGUUUAAUGAAUUGUAUUCAUAAUAACCGAUUCGUACGUAAAUUUCCCGACGUGGCUCUUAAGC